AUUGAACGCUGGCGGCAGGCCUAACACAUGCAAGUCGAGCGGAUGAAGGGAGCUUGCUCCUGGAUUCAGCGGCGGACGGGUGAGUAAUGCCUAGGAAUCUGCCUGGUAGUGGGGGAUAACGUCCGGAAACGGGCGCUAAUACCGCAUACGUCCUGAGGGAGAAAGUGGGGGAUCUUCGGACCUCACGCUAUCAGAUGAGCCUAGGUCGGAUUAGCUAGUUGGUGGGGUAAAGGCCUACCAAGGCGACGAUCCGUAACUGGUCUGAGAGGAUGAUCAGUCACACUGGAACUGAGACACGGUCCAGACUCCUACGGGAGGCAGCAGUGGGGAAUAUUGGACAAUGGGCGAAGGCCUGAUCCAGCCAUGCCGCGUGUGUGAAGAAGGUCUUCGGAUUGGAAAGCACUUUAAGUUGGGAGGAAGGGCAGUAAGUUAAUACCUUGCUGUUUUGACGUUACCAACAGAAUAAGCACCGGCUAACUUCGUG
rnacentral:rRNA from 1 species